rnacentral:rRNA from 1 species
AGAUACCCCACUAUGCCUAGCCCUAAAUCUAGAUACCUCCCAUCACACAUGUAUCCGCCUGAGAACUACGAGCACAAACGCUUAAAACUCUAAGGACUUGGCGGUGCCCCAAACCCACCUAGAGGAGCCUGUUCUAUAAUCGAUAAUCCACGAUUCACCCAACCACCCCUUGCCAGCACAGCCUACAUACCGCCGUCGCCAGCCCACCUCUAAUGAAAGAACAACAGUGAGCUCAAUAGCCCCUCGCUAAUAAGACAGGUCAAGGUAUAGCCUAUGGGGUGGGAGAAAUGGGCUACAUUUUCUAACAUAGAACAAACGAAAAAGGACGUGAAACCCGCCCUUAGAAGGAGGAUUUAGCAGUAAAGUGAGAUCAUACCCCCUAAGCUCACUUUAAGACGGCUCUGAGGCACGUACACACCGCC